GCCGGGCGGUGCUCGGGCAGCCGGGAGGGGAGCGCGGCGCGGCUGGGCUGCCGGCCGGGCUGAGCCGAGGAGGCGGCGCGGCCUCCUUGCCCUUCAGCCGCCGCUCGCAGCCCCGCUGAGGCCUCGAGGGGCAGCCGGGCCUCCCGUCCCGCCGCCCCGGGGGGGCUGGGGUUGAGGCGUCUCCUGUUCUUCCAGAACAUGGUGCUGCUGGGGAGGCUGGUGCGGCCGGGAAGCAGCCCCAGCAAGCUGCUGCCGGCGGGCGGCUGCAGGCCCUUCUGGGGAUGGCUGAACGCCGUCUUCAACCGGGUGGACUACGAGCGCAUCCAAGCCGUGGGCCCCGACAGGGCAGCCUCGGAGUGGCUGCUGCGCUGCGGGGCCCUGGUGCGCUACCAGGGCUACCAGAAAUGGCAGCAAGACUACAAUGGUCUCCCCACGGGGCCCCUGGGGAAGUACAAGAUAGAGGCAAUUAAUGCCACCGACUCAUGCAUCAUGUACAGAGGAUUCGACUACCUGGAUGGUCUUGAACAUGUCACGGAAAUCAAGCUGCAGAAGUGUAUUUACAUACAGGAUGAGUGUCUGCAGAGGCUCAGUGAGACCAAGAACCUCCAGAAGAGUCUCCUCCAGCUGCAGAUCAUUUCCUGUGGGAAUGUCACAGAUAAAGGCAUCAUUGCGCUUCACAAGCUGACGAACCUUGAAUAUCUGUAUCUGAGUGACCUUCCUGGAAUAAAAGAGAAAGAAACUACUGUUCACAUCCUUCAGCAGGCACUGCCAAACCUAGAGCUGGAGCUGGAUUUAGAAUAAACACAGUUGCACAUAACUGAGGUGUAUUUGGUUUCACAGCAUUUAUCAAGCUGCAUAAAUGAAGUUGCAGAUGCUGCUGUAUUUGCAGAUCUGUCCAGCUACAGACAUAAAACCUGAGCUGAGGAGCUGACCCUGGCUGUGUGCGGAGGAAGCAGGCUCUCUUAGACAUGCCCUUGCAAACAGUUUUGCUGUUAUGCUGACACAGACUAAAUUAGUUCUCUGCAGUUGCAGCCCUACCACUCCUGCUGAAGAAGAGAAUGGCUCAUCCUCAGGAAGAAUGUAACAUUUUUAGUCGAAUUCCUGGCUUGGGUGGUAGGGGAGAGAAAGGCUGUAGGCAGUGACACCAAGAGAGCAGAUUUCAGUGUGAUGUCUCAGAGGUGGCUUCCUCUGCAUAACCAAGAGUCUCUUUCCUUACCCCUGGCAGUCAGCUCACUCCUGAAGGAAGGAAUGCCAGGCAGCAGAAGGGAUCCCAUUCUGCACUAGUGCAACGUGGAGCUGGUUCCCCGUGGUAUGUCCGAGCGCAGCGCGGGCAGGAACGGUGCCCAGGAGUGGAGUUCCCUCCAGGCUGCCCUGCCCCGGCCAUGUCCAGGAGCUGCCUGCCAGGCUGGGCACUGCUCCCAGCCCUGCUGCUCCCAGCCCUGCUGCUGCCCUGCACACCAGCAGGCUACAUGGCUGAAUAUCCACACAGGAAACACUGGGACGCCAAAGCUUUCUGAGUGUAGCCAAAACUACCUAUGGAUACAGUGCUCAAGGUUAAAAUGCAUUCAAAUAUAAUGUGAAAUAAAAGGGAAGCA